rnacentral:rRNA from 1 species
GAUGAACGCUGGCGGCGUGCCUAAUACAUGCAAGUCGAGCGAACAGACGAGGAGCUUGCUCCUCUGACGUUAGCGGCGGACGGGUGAGUAACACGUGGAUAACCUACCUAUAAGACUGGGAUAACUUCGGGAAACCGGAGCUAAUACCGGAUAAUAUAUUGAACCGCAUGGUUCAAUAGUGAAAGACGGUUUUGCUGUCACUUAUAGCUGGAUCCGCGCCGCAUUAGCUAGUUGGUACGGUAACGGCUUACCAAGGCAACGAUGCGUAGCCGACCUGAGAGGGUGAUCGGCCGCACUGGAGCUGAGACACGGUCCAGACUCCUACGGGAGGCAGCAGUAGGGAAUCUUCCGCAAUGGGCGAAAGCCUGACGGAGCAACGCCGCGUGAGUGAUGAAGGUCUUCGGAUCGUAAAACUCUGUUAUUAGGGAAGAACAAAUGUGUAAGUAACUAUGCACGUCUUGACGGUACCUAAUCAGAAAGCCACGGCUAACUACGUG